GGGCUCGUAGCUCAGUUGGUUAGAGCGCGCCGUUCACAUCGGCGAGGCCAGAGGUUCAAAUCCUCUCGAGCCCACCA
rnacentral:tRNA from 1 species